rnacentral:rRNA from 1 species
GCCGCGUGAGCGAUGAAGGCCUUCGGGUUGUAAAGCUCUUUUCUGGGGGAAGAGGAAGGACGGUACCUCAGGAAUAAGCCUCGGCUAACUACGUGCCAGCAGCCGCGGUAUAAUCGAAUUCCCGCGGCC